AUAUGGGAGGGGAGGGGGGAGCCGGAGCGCAUUUAGGGAUGGGAAGCCCUAAAUUUAAGCAUUUUCCCUUUUUAAUGGAGGAGAACGAAAUGGAGGGCACCAUGGGCUUCGGACCUCCAGGAGGAUGUGAUCCAUGCACUUUUUCUCUCUAAGCAGGGUUCAGGUACCUAGCCAUCGGUAUUCUCCCGGUCUUAAAAUAUUGGGGUUCCUCAUUUGUACGAGAUGUAUCGGAAGGAUGAGGUUUAGGCUCCUCUGGAAUUUUAUUAGAGCUUCUUUGCUUUUGGUCAUGUUGGCGGAUCUUAUUAAUACACUUGGUCAAUUUUAGGGUCCUCUAUCCCCUCCCUUGGGUGUCGGAGUGGAUUCCCUCCAGAGUUAGUGCUAGGUGGUCUCCAAUCCUUCAUGUGUAUUCCAUUUCCCUUAGUUAUCCACACCGGGAAGGCUAGGAGAGACUCGUGGAGACCUGGGAUACAGCUGUGGCUGGAACAGCUCAAUAACACACCGGUGUGUGUCCGUCUGUAAAGUGUGAAACGCGGAGGCCGAGCGGCAAAUGAAGAGGAUGUGCCCCGUGCGCGGCGUUUGGGAGUCAGGAUGAAGAAGCCCGGCCCUGCACGGUUGCACUACAGUAUGUUGGAGACUAUCUGACGUGAGGGGCGGGCCUUCAGGGGCGCGGGAGAGAGGCACGCACGCAGACGCACUGGCGGGGUUGAAAAGGGAAAAGCACGCAGGCGCAUUGAAAACAACUUUACACGGGGUGCGCGUGCGUACGUGUGUGGGUGGACAGGUGUGUGUGUGUGUGUGGAGGGAAUAAAUGUCAUGCGCGUAAGUGUCUGAGCCUGGUUGGUGUUGUGUUCAAUGGUGUUAGGAGCAGUGCGCCUGCGCAUUUCAGACGGACUGACUGGGAUCGGGAUGACGUACAGCGAUUUGACUUCUGCCUCAGCAAGUUCACCAGUGUUCCAGGAUGAAUUGUUGUUGUGACAGAUGUCCUUGGGAGGCAGUUUGGAAGCCUUGUGCUGUGUAUCAGUCCUUGGGCCUUGUGGAUGCUAGAUGAGCACUCUACCAUUCAGCUUUAUCUCCGGCUCUGUGGAUACCAAAUCUGUCAGAUGUAUGUGAAUGACUGCACAGCAGAAAGGGGAAUCUUCUCAGUGAUUAAAGUAACAGUGAAUAAGGUAAGUAGGGGAGGAAAGGCUGGCUUUCCUCUUGCUCCUGCUUUUAGAAAUGCCAUUUCCAGAACACAAGUGGCAGGCCAGUAGCCUUAGAGUCUACAACCUACUCUAUCAUGUAAGAAUAAACUGGUAGGCGAUAACCAGUCUGUGAUCACCACUGCUGAUUCUCAGUCCGGCAGCGGAGGCUCACGCCUAUAACCUAGCUACUUAGGAGGUUGAG